CACCAGAGAGGCUGGAACAGAGGUCACUUCAAUACAAACAUCUUCAUUUCCUGUAAAUAACAUGAGAUAAGUUAGAGAAUACUGUAAAAUACAUUACAAAGUGAGAAUGUUUGGCCAAGCAGAACUUUUGG